rnacentral:ribozyme from 12 species
CAUGUUCGUACAACUUCUUUUUUUUUUUUUUUUCUUUUUUU